GCCCUCUCUCUCCUGUAAAAAUAUCUCCUCUUUCCCCCUCAUCCCACCUCCCUCUCGGCCUCCUCGUCUUCUCCACCUCCGCCUCCACCACAACCGAUGGCUCCAUGCCGGCUGUGAAUAGUGCGAGCGAGCGGGGCGAUAGGAAAAGAAGAGCGAGCCCUUCCCCCUCCCCCUCCCUCAAGAACCCUAGCCGCUGCCUCCUCCUCCUCCUCCCGCCUCAGCCGCCUCCCCCCUCCCCUCCACCCCUCCCGCAUCUCGUCCGCCCAGAGUGCAGAGGCGAGCUUCUCGACGACGGUGGCGCUGGCUCGAGGCCGGGGAGCGGCCGAUGCGGCCCUCCUUCUCCGCCAUCACCGAUUCUCCUGGCUGUGGUGAUGGCAGCGCGGCGGAGCUCGUCGUCGACCGGCGGGCGGCACCAGGCGGCGGCGCGACCAUUAGCAUCGGCACCAGCGCACGAGGUCACGGGGCGUGAGGAGAGGGAGGGGAUAGAUGCGUGGGCCGUGGGGAGUAGGAGCCCGUGGUCAUGGCGGCGCAACGGAGGUCGUGGCCGGGCCCUUGUCCCAACCGUCAAGCCAUUGGGGAGGUGAAGAUGGUGAUGGCGGCAGUAGAAGCGCGCGGAGCAGCAGAAACAUCAUCCCUCCUUGCCUUGUUCUUUUAUCUCUUCCUAAUAGUUUGUUGGUCGAAUUUAUAGGAUUCUUAAUCGGCAGAUCAGGAAUCACCUCCCCAUUCAGCUAAGCUACAUGUCUUUUGCUUAUAUUUUGUCCUUUCUUGUACUUACAUCUCAUGCUGUGUGGAUUUCCUAUGGCUCAAGUUUGUUGCUGCGCUCAGGUUUCAGCAAUUGCUGCACCUGCAAAUUUGGGGUUGAGUGUACAGUUUACUUUCAGUCAAAAGCUAUGCUAUUUUCAGCACAAGAUAUUAUAUGUGGUCUUUGACAGAUUUGAUUGAUUUUGGCUGAUGUACAUGAAUGACAGUGGAUGGACAAGGAUCGAGGGAAUGUAGAAGCGGCUUCGUCAGCGUGUGUCGAGAUUCUUAGCGAGCAGUUCCUUGGACAAGGAUUGAAAAAUUUAAGUAUGUACUUAUUCCUGUGUGCAGAUUACCAUGAACAAGACAACUGAAGGUUAAUAAUCUUCCUCUUAUUUUGCAUCCUUGAUUAAUUUAUAGCAUUCAUAGUAAUCCCACAUGUAUACAGCUAAUGUCUAUUUGUUUGUUUCAACUGACACUUUCUUGCCGGCAAGCAACACUGACCUCAGGCAUCUACAACUCAUUGCCUUUGCUUUGUUGAUUUAUAUAAAAAAGGAAUUUCAGGCUGCCAUUUAUGUGAACAUUUUUUCUGUUGCAGAUUUUACCUGCUCGACAAAGUCCAAUGAAAGAAGUACAAUGUAUCAUUGAUUAUAGCUAAAGCAGAUGGACAAGGAUUGAGGGAAUGUAGAAGCGGCUUUGUCAUCGUGUGUCGAGGUUCUUAGCAAGCAGUUCCUCUGAGAUGGUUUCAGGUCGCUGAUUGUUUUCUACCCUAUGCACACAAGAUGUCUCCCCUUUUAUAGUUACCGCUUGGAUAGGAUACGUGGAGUUCAUAUUCUAUCAGAUUUUAUCCCUGAGUAAUUUGGUCCUAAAGAUGUCAGGUUUAAGAAUGUGCCACUUUAAUGUCUGUUGUGCGGCCUCGGUUACACAUAAUUUGUUCCUAAAGAUGUCAUUUCAGAAUGUGCCACUUUAAUGUCUGUUGUGCGGCCUCUGUUACACAUAAUUGCACUUUUGUCCUUACGUCUUCAAUUUUGCUUUCAGAGGUUCUUAGUGCUAGAAAUAUUAUUGUUCCAGAUUUUAGCUGUACUACUCAUGCCACUCUUUUUUUAUUGCUUUGUAGCUGAAGGAUUAGUGAGACUGUUUGGGCUGAAUUCUGAUUUUGUAGCACUUAUUCCAUGUGAGGCAGGUAGCAUAUUGAUAUCAUCCAGAAAUAAUAGUGUCGUCUCAACUUCUAAAUAAGAAUCUAGCAGAUGUGCCUACUGGUUUAUGAUGGCACCGUAAAUAAUAGUGACAUCUGUUUUGUAUCUUGCUUGUAGUGUCCAGAUUUCCAAUUUUGUUGCUAUAUCUUUGGCGGUGAGUUGAUAUCGAUUUAUUAGUUCUAGAGACAAAAGAAAUUUGAAAGCGUGAAUUUUAUCUAAUCCAUGUUGUGCUUCCAACUUUGAAGACUGGAGAAGAUGUAAUUCUGUUUGACCUCUCUUUCAUUAAUCCUUUAGGAAAUAUAUAUGAUGUAGAAGAGUUACACUAUCAAAUGUUUGGAAUUCUUCUUCCAUGUUGAGAUGGGAUGCAUAUAGUUAAUGACAUGCUUUUGAGUUCAUAUAGACAGUUCAUCAUAGAAAAUGCACCGCACUGUAUUUUCUUUAUAUAUGAAUUUAGAAUACAUCAUUACUAUUUUAUCGAUCAUUCUUACUGGUUUCUAAUCAUGAUAUUUGGCAUUCUCUUGCACAAGGAUGUUGUGGUAUGAUAGUUCUUAUUUUUUGUGAACCGAUUCUAUCGUGCUUCUACUUCUACGUGUUUGUUGAUGAUUGAACGGAGGUUAGAUUAGAUUAUUGCCAUGGUAGUUCUCAUCUUCUUUAUCUGAAGUAGUAAGUUUGUUUGAUGUUUUCUAGCUUUCCUUCGAUUAUGAAAAUUCCCAAAGAAUGUCCCAUUGUCACUUCAAGGAGUAGCAGCUGAUAUUGGUGCUUCCACCUCCGCGUCAUGCCCGGGCCGAACUGCCACACCCCCUGGUUCUCCACAUUUUCUCUUUGGUGUUUUAUACAUUCAGUUAUAUCCUAUCUUAUCCAGUAUGUCUCAUAUCUUAGUUGAUUUGCAGUUUGUACUCUACUUUACAAACAUUGUAGAAAUAUUCUACUAACAGCUUAUUUUCUACUGUUUGGUUGUUUAAACUAAGAAAUUAAAUCUGGACCCAUACAAAUCUUGAGUAAAAUAUAUGCUAAUUAGUUCCUCUUGUUUAAUCUAUUCUAGGAUUGGGCACUACACAUAGAGCUAAAAAGUUACAUUGCCAUUUUGAGUGCAAACAAACAGGUUAGGUGGUGUGUACCUUAUUUCAGGAUCAACAAUCGGUGAAUUGGAUCUAAGGUUUGAGUUAGUACUGAGCAUUGUGUAUUCUAGAUGGACUAAUUGAGUGUGCUAAUUGAACCAUAUUCAUGGUGUUAGUCUGAAGUCAGAUUAUGCGAUUCACUCGUAUUAAUGCCAUUACUAUUGGUACAUUAGAUAAAUUGGGAGAGUUAAGUUAUGGGCUUCUUGCCAAUUACAUGCCCACAAAUUAUACGUUGUGACAACUUUUCUCUUUAUGACGAGCAUGUGAUGUCGUAAGUUUCCUUUGGAGGACGUGGGGUCAUUUUCUGUCUAUUAAAUAUCUGCUUUGUGCUUUUGGAAGUGUCUAGCAGGGCCACAACUUAUGAAUGUAGUUGCAAUAAUGCACAAGAACUUCUUGUCAUUAGUUAAGAAAAUAAACUAUGGGUCAUUUUAACCACAUCAUUUCACCUUUUCAGUGUCAGCUAAGGUAUUCUGGUUUCUUGAGAUGGUUUGACUAUUUGAGUUUCCAUUGGUUACAGGUGUGUAUGUCCCUGAUGACAUGUUGCCCAAAAUCAACAUUUGUAGCUUCUUUAUAUAUGGCUUUCUCUCUUUCCAUCAUGAAGUUUAAUUGAUUUAUAUUCCAAAUGGGCUUAUUCUUACAAUCCAUUCCUUGCUAAUUUAAUUUUUAUUUUGCCUUGCUGGUCUUGAAUUUAUACUUUUAACUUAUUUCUGUGUGCUAGGCUUCUUUGACUACAUGUAAUCCUCUUCUGUCCUUGGUUCAGAUCAAAUGUGGAGUCCACUUCUUUCCUUGGUUCAGAUCAAAUGUGGAGAUGAUGUUUUUUUUUCCGCUAUGACUAUUAUUUUCACCUUGGUGACAGUCUCACGAAUCCUCUUUCCUUUCUUUUGCUGAUGUCUUGCCUCCUGUGUACUGAUAGAGGCAUAUAACUGAUGCAUGUCUCGGAUUAGAGAACUAUGAUUGUCCAUCUAUUUUAUAUUUUUCAUUUACCUCUUACGAGUAGUUUCCCUAAGUAGAAAAAAUGCAUUUUUCAGCCAUAUUGCUUUAUUAUCCUUUUUUGUGGGAACAAUACGAAGCCACACUAUGGUGUGCUCUGUUCCCAAUUUUACAAACUGGCAAGUUGCUGCUUGAUUUUGUUUCUUUCAGAUUUUUGUGUGCCUUUCUCCGUUAGAAUGUUUCUCCUCAACGACCAUAUCGAUCUGGCUGGCGUUCGCAACUGUGAUUUUGGUUGAACUGUGCAUGAUCAUCCCUCUAUUCAAAUUGUUGCUUCUCAAGGAUAUUUGCAAACCUAUCAACUCAAGCAAACUAUGAUUCAAAUUUCGUGAAAUGCAAGUAUUUCUUCUGUAAUGGUAAAAUGGGAAGAAUGCUUAACUGGGAUGCUUCAAGCAGGUUUCCUGCUUAUCACCCAUAUGAAACCUAACAUAUGAUUUUUUAUUUACAAUAAUAUAUAUGCAUUUUCCUAUAAAUAUUGGGGAAGUAAACUUCUGGUGCUUUAGAAACAACCCUGCACAUAUAUAUCAGGUGACGUAUUGGCUUGCAGGUAUGCUCCGGCUAGGUUGUUUCUUCUCUUCCUUAGGCUAUGGUUGCAACCGUUGGCUGCUAUGUUGGUCUUGAUGUAUUUGCUUUUUUAUAAGCUUAUAGUUUGAAAAACUGUAUGCAAUGAUUCCUAAUUUGAUGCCAAUAGCUCGUGUGAGCAUCCACAGUGAUGGGUUCUUGUGCGGAUUAUCAGAGGCAGCAGCACCGUCGUGGAGUACAUGUACAUCAAUGCCGACGGUGCCGGCAGCAACGACACAAGGUGGGCGAUUUGACCAGCGCAACAUUCUUAUUUGAGGAGUUGUGCGCAGUUCUGAAACAAUUAAGUUGUGCUUGGUGACACGCCUCAUUUCUGUGGUUGAAUAUUUGUGUUACCAUUUUCUCCCUUGCUGUGGAAAGCCACCAGCUUCAGGGAGUGCCAGGCUUCCACACAGCUAGAACAGACGCCACCUUUGGCAGGGAGCGUGAGGAUUUGGCUUGUCGAUACGAGUGAUAGCAGCGCCAUCUGCAGAUUCCGCAGAUUCAAGCUGUAACGGAAGCUGCCAGGCUGCCGAGAUGAAGAUGGAGCCGCUGUGGCGCUGCGCCUCCAAGCUGCCGGGCCGCCAAUAUGCAGUUGGAGCCGCAGUGCCUCCGAGCUGCAGUGGGAGCCACUCCCCCGUCAAGCUACAUCGUGAUCCGCCGCGAAGAUGGAGCCUAGCGUGAGCCGCCUCCACCAGGUGCUUUCUCGAGUACAGUGGGGAGAGGAAGAGGAUGAACUGGUCGAUGGAAUCAAGGCUAACAGUCCACCACGUGGUUAUCUCCGGCGUUAUAUGUCCAGACUCCAGAGUGUGGUUCUUUGCCACAAUGGCAUGGUUGUAAAUUUAUCUUUGGUGCUAAUUUGUACUUUAUGUAACUGGUAUAAUCUUUAUUGUUUCAUCAAAUUUAUUCCCACUUAUCUUAAUAUAAGAGCAUCUACAACCA